AACUGGUUGGGAGUUGGAGUUGUGUCUCUAAUGAGUCCAUGGCAGGAUGAAACCAGUC
rnacentral:hammerhead_ribozyme from 11 species